rnacentral:lncRNA from 10 species
AUGCUGUCUCUCUCUCUUUCCCUCCGCGCUGCCUCUCCGAGGUCCUCCCGCCGAGCCCCGGCGCGGGGCAUGAGGAGCCCCCGGGUGCCGCCCAGAGACCAGCAGGCUGCGCGCACACCUAGCCAGCGGCAGACGGGGACAUGAGCAGCGCGCACGGGGUCCCGCGCCCGGCGGCCAGCCCUAUCCGGCGGCGGCCAGCGGGUCAACGCUGCCCGGGAGAAUGAGGCAGGAGCCGGCGGCAGCCUCCUUUUUUUCCUUCUCCUCGCCUUCCUGCGGCUCCGGCGCUCCGGGUCCGGGCCGGGCUGCGGCUCUGCUGCGUGCCCCGCGCGCCCCUCAACCGCCUCCGGAUGCGCUUCUCGAUCUCAGCCCGCUGUCGCCUUCUCUCUGACCCUGGUCCCUUCCACUGCAGGCUGUUGCUCCGGUGUCUCUGGGCUGCUCCACCACGUGGUGCCUGCCCAUCAUGGCAUCCACCACCAGGUGGCCUUUUUCUUGGUUAGCCUGGCAAGGAAGAUAAAGACAUUUGCAACCAAGAUGGUAAUCACUAGUGAAAAUGAUGAAGACAGAGGAGGUCAAGAAAAAGAAAGUAAAGAGGAGAGUGUCUUGGCAAUGCUGGGGAUUAUCGGGACCAUUCUGAACCUGAUUGUGAUCAUAUUUGUCUACAUAUACACCACCCUGUGAAUGGCCCAGAGCGUCCUCAGAGGCCUCAGAAUGGCCAAAGACGGAAGUCCUGCGUGUCGGCGCAUCACUGACCAGACCCUGCGAGAACA